rnacentral:ncRNA from 1 species
UCUUAUUAAGAGUGGCGGAGGGAAAGGCCCUAUGAUGCCCGGCAACCGUCUUGUCCUGCGGACAAGAAAAUUGGUGCCAAUUCCUGCGGAGCGAACAGCUCCGGCAAAUGAGA